rnacentral:lncRNA from 1 species
AUACAGAGGGGGAUGAGGUGGUACCUCGUGUUUGUUUUGAUUUGCAUUCCUUUGUUAAUAAGUGAUUGUGAUCAUUUUUUCUGGGGCAUGUUUCCUUUGGGAUAUGUCUAUUCAUGUUUUUGCCCAUUUUUCAGUUGAGGUGCUGGUUUUGUUUUGCUGUUGGGUGGUAUCAGUUAUUGAGCUGUUAAUUUUGGAUGCCCAGCCUGAUCUGGCCUUUGGGAUCCAGAUAAAGUACCUGCGGGUUGUGCACAGGAGGUAGUAAAACGGUGAUAUUUUGGUGAGCAGCUGUGCAAAUCCCUGUGCUUUUUCUCUCAAGAGUUGUCAGGAAAUUCCAUCCUUUUUUCCCAUGUGAGCCUCAUCUCUUCCUUCUAUUCACUUGGUAUGAAAACCUGGUUUAACACCGGGUCGGGGAUGUUAAGGCCAAUAGAUUGAUUGAUAUAAAGAAAGCUCUCACCAACAUGCCUCCCAGCAACCUGGGUAAGAGAUCUGUAUUUAUUGCUGUGGUGGGUUUGGUAAAUACUGUGGCUUGAAAAUCAUCGAUGUGCCGACAAGUCACACAUGCUUCAGGUGGGGUCAAUAAAUUAGAAACAAAGAGAAAGAAGAGAAAAGAUGCCAGAUUUUACUUACUAAUGAAGGAAUCACAGGCAGAAAAUUUAUUAAAAAAAUCAAUCAUUACAUACCUACACACCUAUCUUCAUAGAUGCAUAAGUGCCGGGAUAUAUACAAAAGGAAGAAGGCCGUCAUGACAUGAUGGGGCAGGGGCUGAGGGUGUAACCAGAGAGGCCUGGCGUAGGUUGGCCCCAGGGCUCUGAAAGCCUUUGAGAGAUAAAGAGCCCACUUGGCAGGGCACUUCUUGGUAUUUCAUCAAAGAGUGGAAGGAAAUCCAAUAAGAAUAUUGCACACAACCAAUGCAGCCCUGGGGACAGCUGAGCCAGAGAUGAGAAGGACCUGAGAGUUGCUAAUAGAUCAGAUUCCACACGUGUGCGCCAGAGCACCUUUUGGACCCAAGUGCAGCUCCAAGGCUCUGAAGGUGCAGGCCCAGAGCUGGGGCUGAUGGUGAUCUGAGCAGAACUGACAGCAAGCACCCAGAGGUUUUUUGGUUGUUUCCUGGGCACCGGGGAUGCUCUGCUCCAAGACGCCUCAUGUCAGGCAGAGGACACAGGUAUCUCUUCAGCAUUUUGAGGUGGAUUGGCAGCCUGGUUGGGUGGCAGUGUGUUUAGAAUGCUUGAAGGAUUCACUGGUUUUCAGAACACCUUGUGUUCCUCCAGCGGCAGGGGCCAAGACCCACAGAGCAUCUGUGUUGUAUCGGGAGCUGGCCAUUUUCCAGCCCCUGACCAUUGGUGGGUUUAGGUAUGUGGAGAAAGAGGGGGGUGCUGCUGAAUGAAUGGGGGACUUCAGUGGCAUUUGGGUGGGCAGCUGGGCUAGUCCCUGGGCUUUUUUUGCUCAAGAGGCUUAUGGAAAUUUCCUCCUUGCCUUUUGGGAUGAGCAGCACUUCUCAGUACAGUGCCAGGUAUGGAAGCCUGUGCGGAACCAGGUCUGAUGAAUUAAGCAGCGUUGAUUGGUAUCAUCCAGCAAGCUCUCAGGGAGUGCCCUUGUGGCUGCCUGGCUUCAGAGUCUCUCCUUGUCACUGCUGUGGCUGUGGCAAGAGCUGCAUUUGGAGAUCCAAUUCUGACCAUACAACAUCCCAAUGUCACAUGGGGCACCCAAAUAAAUUGAUAAAUUAGAUAUUGAAAAGAGUGAGCUUAAUUGAUAAGGAAGUCAAUGAGUGUAUAUAUAUGUGUGUGUGGGUAUAUAUACACAUACAUACAUACAUAUGAAUACAUACAUAUGUACAUUCCUACAGAGCAGCUAAUGGAAUUGAUAGAUAAGGCCACCCUAAUUGCUCUCUUUACCAAAUAUCUUGGGUGCCAGAGGGUUUUAAGUACAAGCCUUGGGACGCAUAGCAUAGGAAUGAAUUCAUUUCCAGGGCAGAGUGUAUCUGCAUGACACAUGGGUGUAGGAAGAUAAAUAGGUAAGUAAAAUAGUAAAUGAAAAAAAUUAUUAUAGAAAUUCAUACACGCUAGGUAAUUAGGUACAGUCGGAUGUCACUUUGCUAGGAAAUCUUGACAGGUUCAAUGGAGUCAGUUUGCCUCUUUUCUAAGAGGCAGCAGUCUCAACCACUUUCUCUCGUGAACGCUGAGCCACUAAAUUUGUUGAUUUUUAAAAAUCAUUUAUUAUUUUCCAUUAUCGCUGAUUUGUGGUGCUUGAUUUCACUUUAACAGCAAAGUGAUCCAAUCAUACAUGCAUCUACAUAUUCUUUUUCUCACAGUAUUCUCCGUUUGGUUCCAAAAAUAGUGACACGAUGUAU